rnacentral:lncRNA from 1 species
AAAAUAUAGUGAAGAGGAAGAAUUGAAUUUAUCAUUUUAUAUGAUUCACACACGGAAAGAAUCUGUCUAUUCUUUGUUGGUUUGCUCUUGCCACUUUGUGAAUUCUGACCAACAAUUUUUGUGCACAACAAAGCCAAAGGUUUUUUGACAGACAAUCAACUUUUACAUCCAAAUUAAAUGAGUAAAGUAAGUCAUUUUACUUGAAUAUCUGUGUUGAAAUAUCUGUUACAAUGCUGUAGAGGGCAAAUCUACUUUAUAGAAUUUAUUUUCAAGGACCCAUUCUGCAUAUAGAGGUCCUCUCAUUUCGCUGAGUUGAUUUUCAUUUUAGUAUGAUAAUAUAUUUGUUGGUCCAUUUAUAUUUUCUUUGUCCGCCUAGUUCAUAAAUUCUCAAUUUUAUGAUGUAGAUAGUGAUGCCCGAUUGAAAUUCCAAAAUUUAUUUCCAUUAUCUCAAAUAUACUAAAUUUACAAUUAAGAUGCAGUAAAAAUAAACAAACCAAGACACGUUAAAUGCUGCUAAUAAGAGCACUCCUGAAUCAUAAUUUACAAUGUAUAUACACUGUAAAUCCCAAAUCAUUAUUUCCAAAGUUUAUACAUUGUAAAUUAUAAUUCACAAGUGCUCCUUGUAGCAUUUAACGUGUCUUGGUUUGUUUAUUUUUACUGCAUCUUGAUUGUAAAUUUAGUAUAGUAUUUAUUGAGAAAAUACUAUUUUAGCUUGCCAUUUUCAUUAUAAAUUAUUUCCAGUAAAACAGUCAUUCUCUUUAGAUAUUUUAUUCCAAAACAUAUUUAUUAAGUGCUUAAUUUUUUGUAAUUUUGUCUUAAUAGAAAUACCUACUUCUUUAUCUGUUAAUAUUGACCUUCAGGUAAUUUCUUUUGCUCAUAUAAAUACGAUGUUAUGUGCUGGUCUCACUCAGGUUCAUUUGUAUAGGCUCUGCCAAGUGAAACCUAAACAAACCUAGUUGGUAAGUAGGUUUUCUGAUUUUAUUGCUUAAUUCUCUGUUCACAUUUUUGUUAAUUGACUAACUCAUUUGCAUAAUACAGUAGAACCCCGAGUAUCUGUGUAUGGAUUAUCCGGGCUGCGGAUUAUCCGUGCUAUGAUUUUUUAUUACAAAAAUUGUAAUUUUGAGUUUUUAUCAAAAUAUUGUCACUGUAAAUCACUCAACAGAACCUCUAUACGCCGAGAAAAUGACUCAUAAUGAAAGAUUUAUUUUUUCUGUUAUCUUUUUAUGGUAGUUACAUAUAUACUCGUACAUACAUAUGUAUCUAUUCUACAUAAGUAAUGCAUGUUCGGAUUAUCCGUGCUUUUCAAUUAUCCGUGCCGAGGUCUGGUCCCGAGGAGCACGGAUAAUCGGGGUUCUACUGUAUAUUUGUUUGAUUAUUUCAUUCAUAGGAGAUUCUGACCAAUAGAAAACUACAGAAAUUUGAAUUAAAUUGAUAAUUUUUGAUAAUUGCCCGUUGUUAAGUAUAUUACGUCAGAGAUGCCCUUCGUUGCUACGGACAUUAAUGACAAUUAAUGGUUUAAAAAUUAUAGAUAGAUAGAUAAAAGUUAUAACUUUCAAUCGUCAAAUAUUCAUAAAAACUUUGUGUUUAAUUGUACUAAUUUGUACUUACAUAAAUAAAUUACAAUAAAAUUUUGGUUUUGAACAGUUUUAUUCAUGAAAUAAUCGCAACAAAUUGCACUCGAACUCUAAAAUUAAUAUAGAAUUUUUGCCCUUGUGACACAAUUUCACUCGCCUUUGGCUUGUGAAAUUAAAACUGUCAAAGUGUCACUCGGGAAAAAUUCAAUAAUUUUAGAGCUUUUGUGCAAUUACUACUGAUAAUUUCAUUUAUCCAAUUAGGCACCCAGGAGAAGGGCAUGGCCCUAUUUCAAAUAUGAGUAUUAUAGAAAAUUAACAGUUCCCCAGGCAACCAUCCAAUGAGAAUCGUAGAAAAAGUAACAGUUCCCUACGCAACUAUCCAAUGAAAAUCUUAAGGCCAUAAUGAAUUGUAUCACCCGAAUGUCAUUCUCUAGGGGUGAGCAAGUCUCUCAGGCUGGGUUAAUUCACCAUUGCCUACUUGCAAGAGCAAUUGUCAACAUUUCUACAGUUCCACAGGUGACCAUAUUGUCUCUUUUUGGACAUACCAUCUGACACCCUCUGAAGAAGAUCUUGGGGUGUAAAUAACCCAGGACAGCACCGGAAGAAGCCGUCAGACCACAAGCUAAAUUUCUUAUUAAAAUCUAUAGCUUGCCUAUAAACAGAGACAAACUAUUUUUAUAUAAAAUAACUUUAUUAGUUCUAAAAUGUAGAUCUUGAAUUGUGACCAUAAUAAAAUGAGAAAAUAAAGUGUUUAUACCGAA